rnacentral:rRNA from 2 species
AGAGUUUGAUCCUGGCUCAGGAUGAACGCUAGCGGCAGGCUUAACACAUGCAAGUCGAGGGGUAACGGGGAAGCUUGCUUCCGCCGACGACCGGCGCACGGGUGCGUAACGCGUAUACAAUCUACCUUAUACUGGGGUAUAGCCUUUAGAAAUGAAGAUUAACCCCCCAUAGUCUCUUAGAGUGGCAUCACUUCUAGAGUAAAGGUUACGGUAUAAGAUGAGUAUGCGUUCUAUUAGUUUGUUGGUGUGGUAACGGCACACCAAGACUACGAUAGAUAGGGGCCCUGAGAGGGGGAUCCCCCACACUGGUACUGAGACACGGACCAGACUCCUACGGGAGGCAGCAGUGAGGAAUAUUGGACAAUGGAGGCAACUCUGAUCCAGCCAUGCCGCGUGCAGGAAGACUGCCCUAUGGGUUGUAAACUGCUUUUAUACAGGAAGAAACACCUCUACGUGUAGAGGCUUGACGGUACUGUAAGAAUAAGGAUCGGCUAACUCCGUGCCAGCAGCCGCGGUAAUACGGAGGAUCCAAGCGUUAUCCGGAAUCAUUGGGUUUAAAGGGUCCGUAGGUGGAUAAUUAAGUCAGAGGUGAAAUCUUGCAGCUCAACUGUAAAAUUGCCUUUGAAACUGGUUAUCUUGAGUUAUUAUGAAGUAGUUAGAAUAUGUAGUGUAGCGGUGAAAUGCAUAGAUAUUACAUAGAAUACCAAUUGCGAAGGCAGAUUACUAAUAAUCAACUGACACUGAUGGACGAAAGCGUGGGUAGCGAACAGGAUUAGAUACCCUGGUAGUCCACGCCGUAAACGAUGGUUACUAGCUGUUUGGACUUCGGUCUGAGUGGCUAAGCGAAAGUGAUAAGUAACCCACCUGGGGAGUACGUUCGCAAGAAUGAAACUCAAAGGAAUUGACGGGGGCCCGCACAAGCGGUGGAGCAUGUGGUUUAAUUCGAUGAUACGCGAGGAACCUUACCAGGGCUUAAAUGUAAGUUGCAUUAGUUAGAGAUAGCUAUUUCUUCGGACCACUUACAAGGUGCUGCAUGGUUGUCGUCAGCUCGUGCCGUGAGGUGUCAGGUUAAGUCCUAUAACGAGCGCAACCCCUGUUGUUAGUUGCCAGCGAGUCAUGUCGGGAACUCUAGCAAGACUGCCAGUGCAAACUGUGAGGAAGGUGGGGAUGACGUCAAAUCAUCACGGCCCUUACGUCCUGGGCUACACACGUGCUACAAUGGUAGGUACAGAGAGCAGCCACUGCGCGAGCAGGAGCGAAUCUAUAAAACCUAUCACAGUUCGGAUCGGAGUCUGCAACUCGACUCCGUGAAGCUGGAAUCGCUAGUAAUCGGAUAUCAGCCAUGAUCCGGUGAAUACGUUCCCGGGCCUUGUACACACCGCCCGUCAAGCCAUGGAAGUUGGAAGUGCCUGAAGUCCGUCACCGUAAGGAGCGGCCUAGGGUAAAGUCGAUAACUAGGGCUAAGUCGUAACAAGGUAACC